rnacentral:rRNA from 1 species
AAGGAAUAUUGGUCAAUGGAGGAAACUCUGAACCAGCCAUCCCGCGUGAAGGAUGAAGGGGCUCUGCCUUGUAAACUUCUUUUGAAUGGGACGAAAAAAGGGGAUUUAUCCUCGACUGACGGUACCAUUAGAAUAAGCACCGGCUAACUCCGUGCCAGCAGCCGCGGUAAUACGGAGGGUGCAAGCGUUAUCCGGAAUCACUGGGUUUAAAGGGUGCGUAGGCGGCUAAAUAAGUCAGUGGUGAAAGGCCGUGGCUUAACCAUGGGAUUGCCAUUGAUACUGUAUAGCUUGAAUGAGGAUGAGGUUGGCGGAAUGUGGCAUGUAGCGGUGAAAUGCUUAGAUAUGCCAUGGAACAUCGAUUGCGAAGGCAGCUGACUGGACCUGAAUUGACGCUGAGGCACGAAAGCGUGGGUAGCGAAC